GACGAACGCUGGCGGCGUGCCUAAUACAUGCAAGUCGAACGCUUCUUUCCUCCCGAGUGCUUGCACUCAAUUGGAAAGAGGAGUGGCGGACGGGUGAGUAACACGUGGGUAACCUACCCAUCAGAGGGGGAUGACACUUGGAAACAGGUGCUAAUACCGCAUAACAGUUUAUGCCGCAUGGCAUAAGAGUGAAAGGCGCUUUCGGGUGUCGCUGAUGGAUGGACCCGCGGUGCAUUAGCUAGUUGGUGAGGUAACGGCUCACCGAGGCCACGAUGCAUAGCCGACCUGAGAGGGUGAUCGGCCACACUGGGACUGAGACACGGCCCAGACUCCUACGGGAGGCAGCAGUAGGGAAUCUUCGGCAAUGGACGAAAGUCUGACCGAGCAACGCCGCGUGAGUGAAGAAGGUGUUCGGAUCGUAAAACUCUGUUGUUAGAGAAGAACAAGGACGUUAGUAACUGAACGUCCCCUGACGGUAUCUAACCAGAAAGCCACGGCUAACUACGUG
rnacentral:rRNA from 1 species